rnacentral:rRNA from 1 species
AGUGAACGCUGGCGGUAGGCCUAACACAUGCAAGUCGAACGGCAGCACAGUAAGAGCUUGCUCUUACGGGUGGCGAGUGGCGGACGGGUGAGGAAUACAUCGGAAUCUACUUUUUCGUGGGGGAUAACGUAGGGAAACUUACGCUAAUACCGCAUACGACCUACGGGUGAAAGCAGGGGAUCUUCGGACCUUGCGCGAUUGAAUGAGCCGAUGUCGGAUUAGCUAGUUGGCGGGGUAAAGGCCCACCAAGGCGACGAUCCGUAGCUGGUCUGAGAGGAUGAUCAGCCACACUGGAACUGAGACACGGUCCAGACUCCUAAGGGAGGCAGCAGUGGGGAAUAUUGGACGAUGGGCGAAAGCCUGAUCCAGCCAUACCGCGUGGGUGAAGAAGGCCUUCGGGUUGUAAAGCCCUUUUGUUGGGAAAGAAAAGCAGCAGGUUAAUACCCCGCUGUUCUGACGGUACCCAAAGAAUAAGCACCGGCUAACUUCGUG